rnacentral:tRNA from 1 species
GGCCCCAUCGUCUAGUGGCCUAGGACAUCGCCCUCUCACGGCGAAAACAGGGGUUCGAAUCCCCUUGGGGCUACCA